rnacentral:rRNA from 1 species
ACAAGCGGUGGAGCAUGUGGUUAAUUCGAAGCAACGCGAAGAACCUUACCAGGUCUUGACAUCCCACUGACCGCUAUGGAGACAUAGCUUUCCCUUCGGGGACAGUGGUGACAGGUGGUGCAUGGUUGUCGUCAGCUCGUGUCGUGAGAUGUUGGGUUAAGUCCCGCAACGAGCGCAACCCUUGUCCUUAGUUGCCAUCAUUUAGUUGGGCACUCUAGGGAGACUGCCGGUGACAAACCGGAGGAAGGUGGGGAUGACGUCAAAUCAUCAUGCCCCUUAUGACCUGGGCUACACACGUGCUACAAUGGACGAUACAAACGGUUGCCAACCCGCGAGGGGGAGCCAAUCCGAUAAAGUCGUUCUCAGUUCGGAUUGUAGGCUGCAACUCGCCUACAUGAAGUCGGAAUCGCUAGUAAUCGCGGAUCAGCACGCCGCGGUGAAUACGUUCCCGGGCCUU